AGGAGACUGUUUAGGCCAUGCCUGGCAUCAGUAACUCAGGCUGUUUCCCACACUACAGGCCAGCACUGUGGGCUCUCAGUUUAUUGGGAAAUGGAAAUAAGAGGGAAGGACAAAAGUCCACUGGGAAGCAGACUGGACAGAAAGGAACUCUGAGCAGCUAAACUCUGACUAAUCCCAGGGUAUACCUGCGUUUUCUCUUCACCAGAUUUUUCCUACCAGGAAGAGCAUGUGCUGACCAACAGACAUGAAUUUCAGCCUGGUAGUUACAACAUUCACAGUAUACCCACAUCACUAAGCUGGGAGGCACAUUUUGAGACCCAGAAUCCUGACACCUCCAUGCCUUCAAAAGGACAAACUGCGGCCUGGACCAGCUGGUGAAACAUAAUUCUGAAUCCUGCCCACAGCCUUCGGUGGUUUUGGAUGAAAGGCCAGCGCCUUGGGAGCCCUGCGUUUGAUUUCAAGUUUUAAGGCCGGCACUGGUGGAGCAAUGAAUGGUGAAAGCUCUCCCCUUAAAGGAGCACAGUUGCCUUUAGGUGACUGCUAACUCAGGCUUUUGCUGAGGACAGUGUUUACUUUGUGAGCUUAAUGACAGGGCUGGCUUUCUGGGAGUGUUGCAAUGAAACAGACUCAGACACAGGCCAUCAUGGGCCUCCUCCCUAGCAAGGCCGCCACGGCUGGCAUCUCAAGAGCAGUCCGUUGAACUUGGGAUUUGGGUGUGAGACACAGUUUCAUCAGAAGAAUUUAAACCAAAGUCUACAUUUGCCCUCUAGAUAAAUGUGUGUGUUCAGCAGCAACCACAACUCCUUGCCUCAUUCUCUUGGUUGAUUAUGUGACUGUGAGAAGAAAAGCAAAAGCAAAAAUGCGAAGCGUAGCUAUGAUGCUAUUUUAGUUAAAAAUAUUCUGGUAGAAUUUGAAGGUACCAUAGAGAUUACCUACAGAUGGAAAAAACUGAAGGUCAGAGAUGGGAAGUGCCUUGUCCAAGAUCACACAGCAUAUAAGGGAAGAAGUAGGACUGAAAUCCAGAUUUCUCUGUUCCUGUUCCUGUUUUCUCUUUUCUUUUUUUGAGACAAGGUCUCACUCUGUCGCCCAGGUUGGAGUGCAAUGGUGCAAUCUCGGCUCACUGCAACCUCCAACUCUUAGGCUCCAGAGACCAUCCUACCUCAGCCUCUUUAGUAGCUGAGAUCCUGGCUAUUUUUUAUUUUUGGUAGAGAUAGGGUUUCACCAUGUGGCCCAGUCUUGUCUUGAACUCCUGAGCUCAAACGAUCCACCCACCUUGGCCUCCCAAAGCGUUGGGAAUAUAGUGUGAGCCACUGCACCCGGCCAGGUCCUGGUCUCUUUUCAUUAUUAUACAGCUGUCAACAAUCAUGGAGAGUUCUUUUUCCCUUUUGUUGGGUUCUUGUUCCUUUGCAAAGUCUAUAAAGAACCAAGAUGAUCCAGGAAAUUCAGGGAGUCCUCAUUCACUUCCAAAGGCAGUUUGUUGUCUGUUGGCUGUGCUGUAUGAAUUGCUGUUUCAAUUAAGUUUUUCAACAUUUCCUAUGAAGGCAUGCAAAUGACCACUGAUUCUAAAUAAACCCAUUUAGGUAUUCA
ensembl:lncRNA PPP1CB-DT PPP1CB divergent transcript